rnacentral:rRNA from 1 species
CUUGGGAGGGGAACAACAACUGGAAACGGUUGCUAAUACCCCGUAGGCUGAGGAGCAAAAGGAGAAAUCCGCCCAAGGAGGGGCUCGCGUCUGAUUAGCUAGUUGGUGAGGUAAUAGCUUACCAAGGCGAUGAUCAGUAGCUGGUCCGAGAGGAUGACCAGCCACACUGGGACUGAGACACGGCCCAGACUCCUACGGGAGGCAGCAGUGGGGAAUUUUCCGCAAUGGGCGAAAGCCUGACGGAGCAAUGCCGCGUGGAGGUGGAGGGCCUAC